UUUUGCAAAUUCAUGAGUUUCAUUUGUGUUUCCAUGGUCUUUUUUGGAUAUCGUUUCAAUAGUAGUUAAUUUAUAUACUUGCUUCAUCUUAGAGGUUGUACAUUUUAUCAUGUGUGGUAUAGUUCCAAUUUGGUUUCUCCACACCAGUCUAGAUAUCUACCUCACAACUGGGGAAAAAAAUGUGGAAACUAAAAGUUUGUCCGUGGGACAUGCUUCUUUCUAAGCUUUUUGAUGCAGAAUCUU